GAAUUAAAAGUGAGUAAGUAUCGAGCUUAAACGCUUUCUUAAUUGAUGGCUGCUUUUAGGCCAACUAUGGUAGUGAAAUAUUUUACUCUCUAUAUUAAGGUUAUUUCCUAGGGUCUAAAGAGCUGUCCCUCUUUAGACUAACAAUUCAAUUUAUGGGGGUAUUAAAUGAUUCUGUAGGUAAAUUUAAGAUUGAACUAAGAUUCUGCCUUGGACAACCAGCUAUCACCAGGCUUGGCAGGUUUGUCGCCACUACCCACAGAUCUUCCCACUAUUUUGCCACAUAAACGGGGUGCACUCUUUUAGCUAUCCUUGGGUAGCUCGUUUGGUUUUGGGGGGUGUUGUUGAAGUUCUCUAUAUAAAGUUGUUUCUAGUUAAUUCAUUAUGCAGAAGGUUAGAAGGGUUUAUCUUUGCUUUUUUAUGCUUAUUAGGUUUUUGUCUUUCCCUUACGGUACUAUAUCUGUUGCACCUAGUAUAUAAUUUCUAUCGCCUAUACUUUU